rnacentral:rRNA from 1 species
UACGUAGGGUGCAAGCGUUAAUCGGAAUUACUGGGCGUAAAGCGUGCGCAGGCGGUUCCGCAAGUCAGAUGUGAAAUCCCCGGGCUCAACCUGGGAACUGCAUUUGAAACUACGGAGCUAGAGUGUGUCAGAGGGGGGUAGAAUUCCACGUGUAGCAGUGAAAUGCGUAGAGAUGUGGAGGAAUACCGAUGGCGAAGGCAGCCCCCUGGGAUGACACUGACGCUCAUGCACGAAAGCGUGGGGAGCAAACAGG